rnacentral:lncRNA from 1 species
CAGAUCGGUGUCCGAGGACGCCCAGGACCGUGACGAGAGUUUGUGCCUUCUAACCUUUCCCUUGGUGUUCUGUUGCUGUUCCAGGCCGGAUGGGUGAACAAGCAGGGUGACAGCACCUCUAGGGAAGGGACCCUCGGGGGCGUGGACGCCUCCCUGGCUCCCCCGCUCAGCCUGACACCUGUAAAGAGGGCGGGCAGGUCAGCGCUCUGGGCUUCCCAGAGGCCCGCGCUACCUCCUGGGCACCGCGCCCGCCAAGGGCUGCGGGUGUUGUCUGACCUGGCGGUUUGUUUGGGUUAUUGGUAGAGCACGUCUUGAGUUUGGUCGGUGGCGCCAGCAAGUCUGCAGCGCGAAGGUUCACACACCCCUCUAUUCAUUCCUCUUCCACAGGUAUGCAGCCGCCUGAGCCCAAGCCAAGAGCUCUAGAGAGGGAGGGGGAAGAGCAAAAGUUAGAGCAAAGCCAACGGAGGAAAGGAAAACACAUCAGCAAAUGUUGAAACGUUUCACUCGUCAUUCCAAGAGAGGGACAGGAAAGAAAACAAAACUUUCAUUUUUUUUUUUUUGCACGUCCAUAAACAUGUUACAUACAUAUUCUCUUUUGUCUCUUCUUUUAUAACCGCUGUGAAGUGUACGUUUCUGUGGUUUUUGGAGGUGCAGUUAAAGUCUUAAGUGUGACAGGACUGAUAAAUAGAUGAUCCAGAGUAAAUCCGACUUUAGAAGGCUACUUUGUGACCAAGGAGCUCAAUUUUUCUUUUGAAGCUUUACUAAUAUACCCCAGAGCAUUGUAGAUUUUUUUACAUCUAUUGUUUAAAAUAGAUGAUUAUAACUGGGCAGGGAACUUUCUUUUCCCUGCAAGAAUGUUACAUAUUGUAUAGAUAACUGAGUGACAUUUCAUACCAUGUAUAUAUACAGAUGUUCUAUAAGUGUGAGAAAGUAUGUGCUUUAAUAGACUACUGUAAUUAUAAGGUAUUUUUAAUUAAAUAUUUUUUUGUAAAUAUUAUGUGUGUGUGUGUUUUUUCAAUCUGUGGGAAUAUUUCUUUUGGAAAAUGAUUUUUCAGCUCAACUGCAGAGCUCUUGAUAUCUUGAAUGUCUUUUCUGUUUGGCCUGGCUUUUAAUUGUUUUUGUUUUGCCCUUAUGGAAGACUCUGAAGUACCAGUUUUUUGUGCCACUGAGCCGCGCUAUCCAGGUGAGCGCACAUUUCCUGUCUCGGGUGGCACAUCACCAGAGACGCCCUUCCCCAGGCACCGCGGUGUUCUUUGCCCUCAGCUUUUCCGAGUGUAAACUCCCAAGGAAGUGAACACUUCUCUCCGCCGCCCAGUUAGCCAGAGGACCUGCACAUCGCUUUAGAACCAGGCUGUCCUCUUAAGGGACACUAGUCAGCUCUCCUCCCAGGUGUCCCCUGGCCUCUCCAGGUGACCGGCGGGCUCGCCCUGUUCUCUCUGCACCUCUAGGGAAGGCACCCUCGGGGGCAUGGACGCCUCCCUGGCUCCCCCGCGCAGCCUGACACCCAUAAAGAGGGGCGAGGGCAGGUCAGCGCUCCGGCUUCCCAGAGGCCCACGCUACCUCCUGGGCGCCGCACCUGCCGAGGGCUGCAGGUGUUGUCUGACCUGGCGGUUUGUUUGGGUUGUUGAUCGCGCACAUCUUGAAUUUUGUCGGUGGCGCCAGCAAGUCUGCAGCGGGAAGGUUCACACAAAGGAAAAACUCCUGAUUUUUCGUAAUUUGUAGACUUUCAUUGUAUAGGCACAACCAAAGAGUAAGAGUCAUUUGAAACCAUGGAAAGAAAGUAAAUACCCCACACAGUGGACAUUGCUUCUAAGGUUGUAAUAAAAUCCUCACAUCUCAAACAUCUUAUGGUAAAGCUGGAAAAAAAAUACCUUUUCAUUUCAAAGAACUCAUAUACUCUGCUAUUGUAUAAAUCCUACUCAACUUUAUUGUCAAGCUUUAACUGCAUUUUUAGAACUUUUAAGAAUUUUGACUCCCCAAUACCUAUUGUAUUAGAUGCCUUCUAUGACAAUAAAUCUUCA